rnacentral:pre_miRNA from 1 species
AACAAAUCAACUUUUUAGUUUUUAGAUACAAUAUUUGACUCUUCGUCUUAUUCAAAAUGCUUUUACGAGUAAUAAUUUUAUUUUUAUUAGAUGAUAAAACAUAAAUAGUACUUUAUAUGUGACUAAUUUUUUUAAAAAAUUUUAAAAAUAUUUCGAAUAAGACGGAUGAUCAAACGCUCGAGACAAAAAAAC